GAAGAAUUGGCGACAUUGCUCGACGCAGAUGCAUGCCAGACGCAAGAAGAACUUGCAAAAGUAUUAGAAGUUAAUCAAGCAACCGUAAUAAAAGAACGAUUAAAUUUUUGUGCCUCAAAUUUUAGACCAGACUUUUGUUAUAUUAUAUUUUACUAUGCUGGGGUGCUGAAGACUAGUUUAAUGGCGACACUUGAAAAGUUACUUGACCUACUACCACUCGACAUUGCAGUGAAGAGAGCUGCAGUAAAAUCAGCCAUGAGAUUGAUGGCCUUAGGUAAAUUCCCCGAUAGGCACAGCUCUCUAUGGAGAACAAAAUAGAAAGGGUAUGCCUUAUUGGGGAUUUGAGAAUUUCAAGCUAUGUUUAAGAACGGCAGACGACGCAAAAACUUGGGACCCGCCAGUGGAAUGUAUAAUAUCUACAUGGGUGUAUCGAAAAAGUGUAUCGAAAAAGGCUGAUGAAGUGGGUGCCAGAUCUGCAAAUCAAAAAUGCUAUUCGUCUUACUAAUGAACCAAAGAGGAAUAUACAAAAGUCAUCAAAAACGAUGCAUAAUGAGAUUUCCGAAAGAGCUGGAUGCCGGAUCAGAGUGAGUUGGAACGCAUUAUUGACAUGCAAAACGCCAAGAUAAUGUGUAAUACCUGCAAAGGUUAUAACCAUUUCUAGUCUACAUGUAAGCCAAAUUCUUAAUUCGGACCUGUAAAGAUCCCAUGUAUCGAUAAUGGCUCGACAGAAGCUCCGUGAGCAUGGUUGGUUUUAUGAAUAUGCAUCUUAUAGUUCAAACCGCUGACCACUUUCCGCUGUCUGCGCCGAAUGCUUGGGUUGUUGAAGAAUUGGCCUUAAGAAAAGCUUGCGAAAAUCCCCAAUUGUUCUAAUUUUUUGUGAGUUUCAAGGAGACAGGCAUAAUCGUAUUACAUUCAAAACUACGAAAAGUAAACGAGCAAAUCGGCGGGUAUUUAACAUCAAUCGGAAAAUUCUAACUGUGCUAAAUGAAGACUUCAAUUAAAUGCCAAAAUAAUGGAUUACUUUUAACUUGACCUAAUUAUAUGUUUAAUUUAAUUCGCUCAAAAAGGAAGAUGUAAAGUUUUGGUUGUUUUCGGAAAUUAUUUAUAUUUAAAAAUUAUUAUACUUAAAAUUCCAACUAAUUAUAGCCUCUUGUGAAGAAUUAGAUAUUGUAGAAAUAAAUAAAAGUAAUUGGACAUCUGCCUAGUCUCUAAACUAAGCAAAUUCCUUGCCAAAAUUUA